rnacentral:tRNA from 3 species
GGGGCUGUGGCGCAGCUGGGAGCGCGCUUGCAUGGCAUGCAAGAGGUCGCGGGUUCGAGCCCCGCUAGCUCCA